rnacentral:rRNA from 1 species
CCUACGGGAGGCAGCAGUGAGGAAUAUUGGUCAAUGGACGAGAGUCUGAACCAGCCAAGUAGCGUGAAGGAUGACUGCCCUAUGGGUUGUAAACUUCUUUUAUAUGGGAAUAAAAUGUUCCACGUGUGGGAUUUUGUAUGUACCCUAUGAAUAAGGCUCGGAUAACUCCGUGCCAGCAGGCGCGGUAAUACGGAGGAUCCGAACGUUAUCCGGAUUUUGUGGGUUUAAAGGGAGCGGAGGUGGGUUGGUAAGUUAAUUGGGAAAGUUUGCGGCUCAAACGUAAAAUUGCAGUUGAAACUGGCAGUCUUGAGUACAGUAGAGGUGGGCGGAAUUCGUGGUGUAGCGGUGAAAUGCUUAGAUAUCACGAAGAACUCCGAUUGCGAAGGCAGUUCACUGGACUGCAACUGACACUGAGGCUCGAAAGUGUGGGUAUCAAACAGGAUUAGAUACCCGAGUAGUC